rnacentral:rRNA from 1 species
UACGAAGGGGGCUAGCGUUGCUCGGAAUUACUGGGCGUAAAGCGCACGUAGGCGGCUUUCUAAGUCGGGGGUGAAAUCCUGGAGCUCAACUCCAGAACUGCCUUCGAUACUGGAGAGCUUGAGUCCGGGAGAGGUGAGUGGAACUGCGAGUGUAGAGGUGAAAUUCGUAGAUAUUCGCAAGAACACCAGUGGCGAAGGCGGCUCACUGGCCCGGUACUGACGCUGAGGUGCGAAAGCGUGGGGAGCAAGCAGG